UGCCAGCCGCCGCGGUAAUACGGAGGGUGCGAGCGUUAAUCGGAAUUACUGGGCGUAAAGCGCGCGUAGGCGGCUAUUUAAGUCAGAUGUGAAAGUCCACGGCUCAACCGUGGAAGUGCAUUUGAAACUGGAUAGCUUGAGUAUUGGAGGGGGUAGUGGAAUUCCGGGUGUAGCGGUGAAAUGCGUAGAUAUCCGGAGGAACAUCAGUGGCGAAGGCGGCUGCCUGGCUCAAUACUGACACUGAGGUGCGAAAGCGUGGGGAGCAAACAGGAUUAGAUA
rnacentral:rRNA from 1 species